CUCCAAACUCAAGAUGCUUAUCCUCCUUGAGUUUGAGGGGGAUGUUAAUGUAUAUAUGGUAUAUAUUCCUACAUAUAUUAGGUAUUGCCAUAGUUAGGUCUCUUAUAGGAUACUCUUUCUCAUUGUUAGAUUUCUAGUAGGAUACUAUUUCUUAGUUUAUAUAUACAGGCCUUCUAUGGUAUUCAAUACAAUUCAUUCAAUACAAUACAUAUUAUUUUUUUUCUCUCUCUACUAUUCUAACACUAAUUCCUAGUAGCUUAAGCUUUUGGGCUAAUUAGUGACUUGACAAGAUCAUGUUCAGAGAUUAUGAUCGUGUAGCUAACCUUACAUACGGAGAUGCUUUGUGUACAAUCAAAUUACUAGUAUUAUUCAUGGCUUCAUAAAUUUCAUAUUAUGGCCUUUUGUUCCUUGUCCUUAAAAAUGGUUUCAAAUAUCCUGUUUUGGAAAUUAUGGAUCCACUUAUCAAUAUAUCCCAUCUCUCUGUCUUUGAGCUUAUUUUGCUGAUGUUUUGGGUCAUUGUAGUUAAUGUAAAAAUAAACUCCUUUUUUCCUUGUAGAAAGUGCAAAACGAGCUGCUGGACGUAUACAGCACCCAAUUACUUGAAAUGGAGAAUUCUAGAUGCCGUGUUUUGCUUAGAGAUGAUAAGGUAGAGGAUCUCUCUACGAUGUAUAGACUAUGCCAUAAAAUUCCUAAAGCUUUGGAACCAGUUGCUAAUAUAUUUAAACAGCAUGUUACUGCUGAAGGUGUAUGAUUUGUCCUAUGUAGCAAAAGUUGUUAGAUAUAACAACACGGAAAUAUAACAUUCAUUUUUCAUUAGUCAUAAAAUAAAGAUGUAACUAAAAAAAAAAGAUCCUCACAAAUGGCUGUAACUUGAGCCGGAAGACUAUUCAUCAUUCUUUGUGAUACAAUCAAGAUUUGAGGACCAACUUUUGAGAACAGAAGGCACACAAUCAAGCGAAAGAAGCUGGUUUUUUUCAAGUUGCAUGAUUAAACAUAAUUUUUAAAUUUAGGUCAUUAUGUCUUUUAAGAGUCUUGUCACUAGGUGUAUUUUUGGGAGUUUUCUUAAUUGUUAGGAAACUGUGAUAUCUUUGAGGUGGCUACUAGUAGGAGGGGAACUGUAUAUAGACUUGGGCCCUCCGCUUUUCGCAAACUCUUUUGUUGUAUGUGUGGAUUUGGUGUUACAUAACAAACACCUUUUUUACCUGGCGCCCUCCUAUUUAAUGCUCCAA